GUACGUAUCUUUGGCAUAGCACGAUCUUUGUGUGCUACACUGUAAUGAGUGUAAUGUGUAUGAUAUUUUCAAUAUUUAUGGUCGGAGAUUCGAAGAUUCUGACAAUGGAAGUGCAGGAGAUCAAACAUCCAAAAAAUUAAUUCAGCACUGCCUAACAAAUCAAAAUUAUGGAGUUUACAGUAGAAACCAGAGGGACAGGAUGUGCUGCCUACAGACAAUUACCCAGCUGCUGAUUUUCUGAGAUACUUUUUAAUGUGGAACUGUUGAUGAUUCAUUAUUAAAGAUAUAUUUCUUGCAUCAUAUUGGUUGUGAAAGCAAUGCAGUAUUGUUAUUUAUAUACAUGUUAAGUUUCUGGGUAUGUACUUUAAUUUGAGAACAAAUGACUCCAUUACAUUUAGAGUGUGUGUGAGUGUAAGUGAGUGGAAUAAAAUAUAAUGAAUA